GCUAAACGCGAAGAACCUUACCACCUUUUGACAUGCCUGGACCGCCGGAGAGAUCUGGCUUUCCCUUCGGGGACUGGGACACAGGUGCUGCAUGGCUGUCGUCAGCUCGUGCCGUGAGGUGUUGGGUUAAAUCCCGCAACGAGCGCAACCCCUAUCUUUAGUUGCCAUCAGGUAAUGCUGGGAACGUCUAAAGAAGACUGCCCACGCAAGUGGAGAGGAAGGCGGGGACGGACGUCAAGUCAUCAUGGCCCUUACGUCUGGGGCGUACACACGUGAUACAAUGGUACAUACAAUGGGCGAAGCAGUGAUGCGGAGGAAAUCCAUAAAGUGUAUCUCAGUUCGGAUUGAAGUCUGCAACUCGACUUCAUGAAGUUGGAAUCGCUAGUAAUCGUAGAUCAGCACGCUACGGUGAAUACGUUCCCGGGUCUUGUACACACCG
rnacentral:rRNA from 1 species